rnacentral:rRNA from 1 species
AUAAGCAAUUAAGGGCAGAUGGAGGAUGCCUUGGCUCUUGUUAGCGAUGAAGGACGUGAUAAGCUGCGAUAAGCUGUGCCGAGGCGCAAAUAGCCUGCGAAGCACAGAUUUCCGAAUGGGGCAACCCUCAUGGUUGAAGACCAUGAAUCCGAAAGGAAGCAUACCCGGGGAACUGAAACAUCUAAGUACCCGGAGGAAAAGAAAAUAAUAAUGAUUCCCUUAGUAGUGGCGAGCGAAACGGGAAGAGCCCAAACCAACGAUGUUUCGGCAUUGUUGGGGUUAUAGGACCACAUUUAGCGCUGUAUACGAAUCUGGAAGAGGUCUGGAAAGUCCUACCAUAGCGGGUGAUAGUCCCGUACAGAAGCUGCGUACAGUGUGAGUGGUAUCCUGAGUAGCGCGGGACACGUGAAAUCCUGUGUGAAUUCGCCGGAACCAUCCGGUAAGGCUAAAUAUAACAAGAGACCGAUAGCGUACAAGUACUGCGAAGGAAAGGUGAAAAGAACCUCGAACAGAGGAGUGAAAUAGAACCUGAAACCAUCUGCUUACAAGCGGUCGGAGCGCAAGUGACGACCUGCCUUUUGCAUAAUGAGCCUACGAGUUACUCCUCUUUGGCAAGGAUAAAUUUCUCUGAAAUGCAUCCGAAGCGAAAGCAAGUCUAAAUAGGGCGUUUAGUCAGAGGGGGUAGACGCGAAACCUUAGUGAUCUACACAUGGCCAGGUUGAAGUCUCGGUAACACGAGAUGGAGGACCGAACCCGUUAACGUUGAAAAGUUUUGGGAUGAGCUGUGUGUAGGGGUGAAAGGCUUAUCAAACUGGGAAAUAGCUCGUUCUCCCCGAAAUGCAUUUAGGUGCAGCCUUGUGGUGAGUGCGACGGAGGUAGAGCUACCGAUUGGGCUAGGGGGUGUCACAACCUACCAAACCCUGACGAACUCCGAAUGCCGUCUCAUAUACACAGGAGUGAGGGUAUGGGUGCUAAGGUCCGUAUCCGAGAGGGAAUCAACCCAGACUAUCUGCUAAGGUCCCCAAAUCUAUGUUAAGUUGAUAAAACGUGGUGUGGUUGCAUUGACAGCUAGGAUGUUUGCUUGGAAGCAGCAAUUCAUUUAAAGAGUGCGUAACAGCUCACUAGUCGAGCGAUCAUGCGUGGAUAAUAAUCGGGCAUAAGCAUAGUACCGAAGCGGUAGAUUUAUGGUAGGGGAGCAUUCUCAUCUGCUGCGAAGGCGAUUCGUAAGGAUCUCUGGAGCGUUGAGAAAAGAAAAUGUAGGCAUAAGUAACGAUUAAGGAAGUGAAAAACUUCCUCGCCAAAAGACCAAGGGUUCCUGAUCAACGUUAAUCGGAUCAGGUUUAGUCGGAUCCUUAGGUGAACCCGAACGGGGCAGCCGAUGGAAAGCAGGUUUAUAUUCCUGCACCCGCAUAACAUUAAAAGUGACGGAAGGACGUGGUGGCUGCGUGCUGACGGAAAUGCACGCUGAGCCGAAUCUUCGGAAGAAGCGAAGUCAUAAAAUCCUUUCCAAGAAAAGCGAGUUAUGCGGUCCGUACCCGAAACCGACACAGGUGGUCAAGUAGAAUAUACUAAGGCGCUCGAGUGAAUCACGGUUAAGGAACUAGGCAAAUUAGUCUCGUAACUUCGGGAAAAGAGACUCCCUCGCAAGAGGGACGCAGAGAAAUGGCCCAGGCGACUGUUUAUCAAAAACACAGGGCUAUGCUAAAUCGAAAGAUGAUGUAUAUGGCCUGACACCUGCCCGGUGCUGGAAGGUUAAGUGGAGGGUUUAGCUUCGGCGAAGAUCUGAAAUGAAGCCCCAGUAAACGGCGGCCGUAACUAUAACGGUCCUAAGGUAGCGAAAUUCCUUGUCGGGUAAGUUCCGA